rnacentral:rRNA from 1 species
AUUGAACGCUGGCGGCAGGCCUAACACAUGCAAGUCGAGCGGAUGAAGGGAGCUUGCUCCUGGAUUCAGCGGCGGACGGGUGAGUAAUGCCUAGGAAUCUGCCUGGUAGUGGGGGAUAACGUCCGGAAACGGGCGCUAAUACCGCAUACGUCCUGAGGGAGAAAGUGGGGGAUCUUCGGACCUCACGCUAUCAGAUGAGCCUAGAUCGGAUUAGCUAGUUGGUGGGGUAAAGGCCUACCAAGGCGACGAUCCGUAACUGGUCUGAGAGGAUGAUCAGUCACACUGGAACUGAGACACGGUCCAGACUCCUACGGGAGGCAGCAGUGGGGAAUAUUUGACAAUGGGCGAAAGCCUGAUCCAGCCAUGCCGCGUGUGUGAAGAAGGUCUUCGGAUUGUAAAGCACUUUAAGUUGGGAGGAAGGGCAGUAAGUUAAUACCUUGCUGUUUUGACGUUACCAACAGAAUAAGCACCGGCUAACUUCGUG